AGGCUGCAAAGAGUGCUGACUUUUUAAGAGUAACUAUGUUUAUUUUUAUAUCUGGAUACAUAUUUCCCUGGAAUACCAUAGAGUGCAUCCGGGAAUCUUCUAGGGCGCACCAGUGCGCCUUGGCACACACUUUGAGAACCACUGUAUUAGACUAUAAAAUUGGCAGAUACAAGAUAAAAAAUAAAAAAUCAAAUUCUACAAAAUGGUUCUGUUUAAAAUGCCACUUUGAAAACAUAAUUUGAAAUUGUUUUUUCUGUUAUUUUAUUUCAGCAACUAAAGAAAUUUAGGUACCACUAUCAAAAAUGGGUACUUUCAAAUAAUAAUCACACAAAAAAAAUUUGCAAAAGCUGCC
rnacentral:lncRNA from 1 species